AUCACUUCUCAGUCUUUUGGCUAAGAUCAAGUAUAGUAUCUGUUUUUAUUGGUUUAAUAUCUGAUCCAUCCUCUAUCUGAGGACAAUAUAUUAAGUGGAUUUUUGGAACAGAGUGGUAGAAUAGGAGCUUGCUCCAUCCACUCCACACAUAGACCUGGUGUUGCAGUACCUCCAGGAGCAGUGCACCAAAA
rnacentral:snRNA from 1 species